CUAAAUCCAAGAGUCAUGUCAUCAGAAGAAUACACUGCACUUUUCAAUGUCAAUACAGUUAUUUGUAACUUUUUUUUUAUCUACAUUCAUUGUAAAACUCAUAUUUUAUUCAUGAUAGCUCAGAAGACAUCUUUGCUUGCCAUGUGCAUGCUCAAACCCAGUUCAAAUUUUAAAUGUUUGAGGUUCUUUUGGGUAUUGUGACAGUGUGAUCACUUUGAGAUUUGCCCCUAA
rnacentral:lncRNA from 1 species